UCUAAAAGUGCCAUAGAAUGU
rnacentral:siRNA from 1 species